GAUGAACGCUGGCGGCGUGCCUAAUACAUGCAAGUAGAACGCUGAAGGAAGGAGCUUGCUCUUUCCGGAUGAGUUGCGAACGGGUGAGUAACGCGUAGGUAACCUGCCUGGUAGCGGGGGAUAACUAUUGGAAACGAUAGCUAAUACCGCAUAACAGUAGAUGUUGCAUGAUAUCUACUUAAAAGGUGCAAUUGCACCACUACCAGAUGGACCUGCGUUGUAUUAGCUAGUUGGUGAGGUAACGGCUCACCAAGGCGACGAUACAUAGCCGACCUGAGAGGGUGAUCGGCCACACUGGGACUGAGACACGGCCCAGACGCCUACGGGAGGGAGCAGUAGGGAAUCUUCGGCAAUGGGCGGAAGUCUGACCGAGCAACGCCGCGUGAGUGAAGAAGGUUUUCGGAUCGUAAAGCUCUGUUGUAAGAGAAGAACGAGUGUGAGAGUGGAAAGUUCACACUGUGACGGUAUCUUACCAGAAAGGGACGGCUAACUACGUG
rnacentral:rRNA from 1 species